GACGAACGCUGGCGGCGUGCCUAAUACAUGCAAGUAGAACGCACAGGAUGCACCGUAGUUUACUACACCGUAUCCUGUGAGUUGCGAACGGGUGAGUAACGCGUAGGUAACCUGCCUGGUAGCGGGGGAUAACUAUUGGAAACGAUAGCUAAUACCGCAUAAGAACAUUUACUGCAUGGUAGAUGUUUAAAAGGUGCAAGAGCAUCACUACCAGAUGGACCUGCGUUGUAUUAGCUAGUUGGUGAGGUAACGGCUCACCAAGGCAACGAUACAUAGCCGACCUGAGAGGGUGAUCGGCCACACUGGGACUGAGACACGGCCCAGACUCCUACGGGAGGCAGCAGUAGGGAAUCUUCGGCAAUGGGGGGAACCCUGACCGAGCAACGCCGCGUGAGUGAAGAAGGUUUUCGGAUCGUAAAGCUCUGUUGUUAAGGAAGAACGUGUGUGAGAGUGGAAAGUUCACACAGUGACGGUACUUAACCAGAAAGGGACGGCUAACUACGUGCCAGCAGCCGCGGUAAUACGUAGGUCCCGAGCGUUGUCCGGAUUUAUUGGGCGUAAAGCGAGCGCAGGCGGUUAGAUAAGUCUGAAGUGAAAGGCAGUGGCUCAACCAUUGUAGGCUUUGGAAACUGUUUAACUUGAGUGCAGAAGGGGAGAGUGGAAUUCCAUGUGUAGCGGUGAAAUGCGUAGAUAUAUGGAGGAACACCGGUGGCGAAAGCGGCUCUCUGGUCUGUAACUGACGCUGAGGCUCGAAAGCGUGGGGAGCGAACAGG
rnacentral:rRNA from 1 species